AAGGUAUGACGAGGACAUUUCUUAAGCAAUUCCUUAAAUCUUUCCCAUGAUUCAUAAAUAUAUUCACCUUAUAACUAGGUAAAAUAUGUGAUGUUAUUUUUAAGUUU